CACACUGCAUCUCCACCUCCUCAGCUCACAAGGAAGUUGUGGACGGACAGACUCAGUGUACGAAGCUGCCCAGCCCUGCCAAAUGCUGGGUUUGGAGCUAGCAGGAGGUGCUUUUGGGUGUUCUGUUGGGAUCUCCCUCAUCAUUUUUUCAUAGCCUCUCUGAAUUUGCUCUUGCCACCUGCCCAGGUCUAUGGUAAAAUGCACACUUGGAAAGGUUGCAGUCAGCUCUACUUCUAAGAUCAGCGAGCAUGUGAUACGCUUCCCCAUCCUCCUUGGUCCCCUUCCUGCUCUCAUUGCCUCCCUGCAAGGCGGCGAGAAUGUCUACUUCACUGGAAGAAAUCUUAAAGCCCAGAGAGUAUUUGCUGCAUCUUCUGAUCAUUCAAUAACUGUCAAAGAAGAACUGGAGUUUCCUCUGUCCUCCUCACAACUCCUAAAUGCGGAAUCACUUCUCCUUAUCAUAGGUGAUCAACUUUCAGUAAAGAGCAGAUACUAUUUUUUUGAAGAGGCUAAGAAAGCAUGAAAUACUGACAUGAACAAAGUUCCGAAGUCUAAUUAGUUGAGUUAUAACCCAGCCCUUGCUGGCUGAUUGGCUUUGUCCUGUAGUUGCCUAAUGUAUAAAGUAAGAUGAUGAAGCCUAGCUCGUGGGAGAGCAUUGCAAGAAUGAUGAAUAGUGGAAGUGUUCUGUAGGCCACAAAGAUUCACAAAAUUGUUAUAGUUACUUGGAUUUUUUAUUUUAAGGAUGCAUGCUUUCAUAAAAAUCCAGAAAAUUUAGCAAUUUCUCGUAAAAUUAGAUGGCGGGAAAGUUGAGCACUUUAUACCAUUUGACUUUGGAGCAGGCAAAGGCAGAAGGAAAAUGGAAAAAAAUUCUGAUUCGCCCUACUAUGUCUUUUAGGUGAUUGCAGGGGGCACCAUCAAAAGUUUACACUAUAGAAAAACGCUAGUUUACUAGCAGCUUCUGUUUCUCUUGCUGCACCUUAUUCUAGCAUGGAUCUGAGGAAGUUAAAAGCAGUGAUAACAUUAAAGGUCAGAUGAAUUAUUACUAUAGUGUUCAGGCCAAAUUUCUGAUAGAGUUUUCCAAAAAUGUAUAAAGAAUCAUUCUUAAGAGCCUGUCUCAAUGAAUUGUUCUUUAUUUGCCAUGCGGAACUUUGUAAAUAUUUAACUUCCUUCAGAGGUUGGAAUGUACAAAUAUGAUUUAUUAUUUCUAAUGAUUGGAAAGAGGCUUGGUAUCUGCAAACAAAAGGUAUGAGUUGAAAGAGAAUGCAUAAUACAAUGCAUUUCUUUAUUAGUGCAGAACACAUUCUUUAUAAGCUGGCAGAACAGCAUCUGAAAAGAAAAAGUGAGUGAUUCUCAAGACGAUUUGUCCCUUAGUAAGCUCAAGAGGUGGUAUUUAAAGUAGAAAUAACUUUUCAUUGAGUGCUUAUUAUGUGCAAGGCUCUAUUCGGAGUAACCGCUUUAUGUGCAUGUUCUGCCGUCUGCCACAGAACACAGACUAACAGAGGAUGCAAACUGGAUUGUGUUGGAAAUGUCACUUACCUAUCUUGGUAUGUUAUCAUGUCAAUUAUUUCUCAUUAUUUUAAUGAUAAUUCCAAAGAUCCUUGAAAAAGAAAAAGAGAGAGAUGGACACACAGAUAAGAGAGAGAGAAGGAUUAGAGGGGGCAGACACCGAGAGACAAGAAGGAGGAGGAGGAGGUGGAGUGGGGGAAAGAGCGAGAAGAUGGAGGAGAUUGAGACAGAUUAGUUGUGAGAUUCAGGACUUUGUGGGGAAACAUGACUCAUGACACAUAACAAAAACACAACUUCAUUAUUGUCUCCCUCAGGUUUAUUUCAGACAUUCAAUGAGCAUAAUUAUCUCUUGCUGGUGAAUCAGAACUUGGGUAGGUUCCAUUAACUUUUCUGCUCUUAUUAACAUAUCCUACCAACUCUUAAGAAACAAACCAAGUCUCAGUAAAUAAAUCAGAGUUGCCAAGUCUAAGAUGUUAAUACACAAUGAGCUUGAUUCAAUAUCAGAUGUUUUCCCCCUUUUCCAACUCAGGCUUUCUUCUAGUUGACAGACAUGAUGGAAGAGACAUUGUUGGCUUCUCUCUUCCUAUGCUUCGUGCUUUCCUCCUCUUUAACACUUUUCUCAUUCCAGUUUUUGAGCUUGUUCUUGACCCUAUUAAGGUUUGGGAAGGCAGGUGGAAGAGGACAGAAAAGAUCAUAAACUGGCUCUUCUGGGCUGAGUACUUUUCAAAUGUGAUUCUCUCUCUGCUGGGCAUUUUUGUGGGUUCCUCUGAGCUUCUCAUUCAUGGAGACCUCUCACAUUUAGAUUUGUUGACCCUCUCAGAGCUAUCUCUACAGUGCAUGUUCACUUCAACUCCCUUCAAGUGUCUUUUAGCUUCUUGUUCCUGGAAUUUCUUUUCUUGUCCAGGUGUCCCUACCUUGCUGGGCCCACUCUGAUGCCAUGGUAGCUCUGUCUACCGAGGGACUUGACUCUUAUCCACCAGAAACAUUCAUACAUCCCUUAUCCCACAAAAGUUUGAGACAAGAGCUCCACGUCAGCAGGGCCACCCUGCCACAGGUCAUUCUGUCUGAGGAUUGAGUCAAGUUUCAGUCUUCUGUGCCUAUCAGUCGCAAGGGAAAAUCUAGUUGUGAAGAAGGUGCCAUGGGAAGUCCAUUUACUCUGCUGGAGAGACAUGAGGCAGACACUUCUCUAUCCUGAAUAGGUGGGAGAAAGCUCAAAGCAUAACUUCCUCUGAAGAAGUCUCCUUCCAAAUAUUUUCCCACUUUCAUUCUCUCUCUCCCUUUAUCCUUUUUAUAUUUUCAAGGUGAGUGAGGUGGAUCUAUAACUUGGGAAACUACUGUAACUUCUCGAUAGGGAGAAACUCUGCAUAUGGUGAGCUGUCUCACCCUGUUUGGCAUCUGAUACAGAUCAUACUUAUGGCUCAGUAGAAAUCAAGUCAGGAGUAGUCCUCCUCUAACUAUGUUAGUAAUGACCUGCUUUGCAGUUCAAAUAAGCGUGACAAGGAAAUAAUCAAAUUAAGUAAUUCUAAUGGUUUUAUUAAUUAUAAUCUCAGAGUCUAAUAUGAUUCUAGAUACAAAAAAGUACCUAACAAAUGUUUGUUUGCAGAAGACAAAAAGAGGAAAGGCAGACAAGUCACCUGUUAUAAUCUGAUAAAUGUACCCAUAUGCCAAUGCCCUGCUUUCCCCCCUUUAGCUUCUGCCAGCUUUGCCCUUGAUCUUGCUCUUAGUCCCAAUGGUCAUGUUUACUCUGCUUGUAAAUGCUGUCUUUCCUUUGACUAACUGAAGCUCUGAAUUUGGUCAUCUAUCUCUGCAAGUUCACAUUUGCUAUAAAACCUGGUUUUGGGGCUCCUAAAUCCAGCAUGCAGCCCACCAUGGGGCUUGAACUCAUGACUCCGAGAUCAAGACCUGAGCUAUGAUCAAGGGUCAGACACUUAACCACCUGAGCCAUCCAAAAAUGUGGUAGUCUUAUUUUUAACCAAUAUGAGAAGAAGAAAAUGAUGUGAAAAAACUGCCAGAAACCUGAUAAGACUGUCUAAGAAUUUGGUCUUUAGAAACAAGAUUUCUUGCCUCUCUGUUCAUUCUCUGUUUGUGUGAAAAACAAGAUUUCAACCUUUUGUUUCUUCUCCCCAAAAUGUUUUUUACCUUGAAUUCCAUACCACUAGAAGACCUGUGUAAUUCAUGCAUUUUCUACCUAGUCUGUGAUUUUACAAUGGUAAGACUGCUGCAUAGUGAGGCCCCUCCCAUGUUGGGGACUACAGGCACAAUGGUGAAGGGUAAUGGGCUCUGCAAACAUGCACAAGACAUGCAUGGGGUGCGAAGGGGAGCUCACAGAGGUAGACAUUCUUUAAAUUCCUAAAAGACAGUAAGGUAGUUAGUGAACGACACACCCUGUUUCAGCUAUGAGUAAAAAUAAAAAGGCCUGUGUUAGACACUGAGGUUCUAUAUGGAGCUGGGUUUGGCUGUAGGUGAUGCUAAGAUAGUUUAGCAUUUGAUCUUUGGAUAAAAAUUGGCUAAGUAGAAGAUUAUGUCAUCAAAAUGAAUGGAAUGCUUUGUGACAUUGGAGGACACGUAAAAUAUGCAAACUCAUUCUCACAAAAGGAAAUAAAGCACAUUCCAUCUCUCUGAGGUUACACGAACCCCAAAAAGAAACAUAGAUUUGAAUUUAAAAUUAUUUUCUUUAAAUUUAAGUCUUUUGUAGGCACAGGUUUUAACUUCAGAAAGAAAAAAUUAUCCUCUAAAACAUGAGGCAGGGGCACCUGGGUUAAACCUCUGCCUUCAGCUCAGUGGGUUAAACCUCUGCCUUCAGCUCAGGUCAUGAUCCCAGGUCCUGGGAUUGAGUCCCGAAUUCCUGGGCUCUCUGCUCCAUGGGGAGCCUGCUUCCCUUCCUCUCUCUCUGCCUGCCUCUCUGCCUACUUGUGAUCUCUGUCUGUCAAAUAAAUUUAAAAAAAAUUAAUAAAAUCUUUAACAAA